UCAGAGCUGCACAGGGUGUUAAGAUAUCGGCAUAGGUGAGUCCAAUAUCUUUCCUUUUUCUUUGUGUUCCACACUUUUGCCGCACCAUCUUAAUGGUCUCUUUCUUUCAGGGACCGGUCUUCAACAUGCAAUUGCAGGGACUGCUCUUUAUGUGUCAAAGCAUGAUGAUGAUCUGGACAGACUAAAUAUGUUGUGAUGAAAGAGAUGACUACGGUUAGACAUCAGAUUUAUUAGAGUGGUCAACGUGUCUAUGUACAAGCAUGUACCCUUGUGUCGUUGGAAGCGAAUAGUCAGCUAAGGCGAAGAAAAGGAAGGGCGAGAGAAGCGUGAAUAAAAAGGAUAAAGGGUUCCAUGUUGUUACACAUGUAUUUGAAGUAAUAAUGUACAAAAAUAUUGUAAUAUAU
rnacentral:lncRNA from 1 species